CUUGGUCAUUUAGAGGAAGUAAAAGUCGUAACAAGGUUUCCGUAGGUGAACCUGCGGAAGGAUCAUUCAUAAUAAGUGUUUUAUGGCACUUUUUAAAUCCAUAUCCACCUUGUGUGCAAUGUCAGUCGAUCUUCUUCAUGGAGAUCGACCAAACAUCAACCUUUAUUUUUUAACUCUUUGUCUGAAAAAUAUUAUGAAUAAACAAUUCAAAAUACAACUUUCAACAACGGAUCUCUUGGCUCUCGCAUCGAUGAAGAACGCAGCGAAAUGCGAUACGUAAUGUGAAUUGCAGAAUUCAGUGAAUCAUCGAAUCUUUGAACGCAUAUUGCGCUCCUUGGUAUUCCGAAGAGCAUGCUUGUUUGAGUAUCAGUAAACACCUCAAAGCUUUUGGAUUUUUUAAUCGAAAAGCUUUGGACUUGAGCAAUCCCAACACCAAUCUUUUUGAGAUCGGUGGCGGGUUGCUUGAAAUGCAGGUGCAGCUGGACAUUCUCCUGAGCUAAAAGCAUAUUCAUUUAGUCCCGUCAAACGGAUUAUUACUUUUGCUGCAGCUAACAUAAAGGGAGUUUGACCGUAUUGGCUGACUGAUGCAGGAUUUCACAAGGGUCGGCAACGAUUCUUGUUAAACUCGAUCUCAAAUCAAGUAAGACUACCCGCUGAACUUAAGCAUAUCAAUAAGCGGAGGAAAAGAAACUAACAAGGAUUCCCCUAGUAACGGCGAGUGAAGCGGGAUGAGCUCAAAUUUAAAAUCUGGCUGGUUUACUAGUCCGAAUUGUAGUUUAUAGAAGCGUUUUCGGUGGCAGCCUGGGUAUAAAUCCUUUGGAAUAGGGUAUCAUAGAGGGUGAGAAUCCCGUCUUUGACUCAGUGCAUGCUACUAUGUGAUACGUUUUCAAAGAGUCGAGUUGUUUGGGAAU
rnacentral:sRNA from 1 species